ensembl:lncRNA LINC01521 long intergenic non-protein coding RNA 1521
AGCGCACUCGCAGGUCGAGCGGGCGUCGUCCACCCUUCGGAGCCCCGCUUUCAUGCGUGAAAUUCCCAGAAGUCGCCUGCGACCGCCUCCCUGCUUCAAACACCAGAGAGGGCCCGGGGUCCUGGCCGGAGACAGGCCGAACCUCCGGAGCUGCUUCUGCACCCGGUACAUUGAUCGAUCUGAUGGGCUGCGCGCCCGGAAGAGCUGGAGAGAUGAAGCCAGCGUCCAGCUUCUCCCCCAAACCACAGCACGCCGAGCUUUGUCCCCGGGGAGCGUGAAGUCACCAGCUCCGGGAGGCGACAAUAUGAGGGCGAUGGACGGGGCAGGGACCCCCGGAAGCCCCAGCAAUCCUCAGGGAAGUGGGGGUGCCGGAGGAGUCGGGGACACCCUCAGGCCUCUCCAAGCCCGGAGCAUCCCCAGCGCCCGCAGCCCUGUGAGACGCCGGGUGCUCUGGUAAUGGGCCCUGCCGCCAGGCCUCGGCGCUUUGUCCCCGGCCCGCCCGGGGAUGCUACCACGCUAGA